GACGAACGCUGGCGGCGUGCUUAACACAUGCAAGUCGUACGAGAAAGUCGGCUUCGGCCGAUAAGUAAAGUGGCGCACGGGUGAGUAACGCGUGGGUAAUCUGCCCCCCGGUCAGGAAUAACCCGCCGAAAGGCGGGCUAAUACCCGAUAACACUGACACUCUGUGGAGUGUCUUUCAAAGAAGGCCUCUGUUUACAAGCUUUCACCGGAGGUUGAGCCCGGGUACCAUUAGCUAGUUGGCAGGGUAAUGGCCUCCCAAGGCAAAGAUGGUUAGCUGGUCUGAGAGGAAGACCAGCCACACUGGAACUGAGACACGGUCCAGACUCCUACGGGAGGCAGCAGUGAGGAAUCUUGCGCAAUGGGGGAAACCCUGACGCAGCAACGCCGCGUGAGUGAGGAAGGCUUUCGGGUCGUAAAGCUCUGUCGGAUGGGAAGAAAUGGUUGGAGGUUAAUAUCCUUCAUCCUUGACGGUACCAUCAGAGGAAGCACCGGCUAACUCCGUGCCAGCAGCCGCGGUAAUAC
rnacentral:rRNA from 1 species